rnacentral:rRNA from 1 species
AGAGUUUGAUCAUGGCUCAGGAUGAACGCUGGCGGUAUGCUUAACACAUGCAAGUCGAACGAAUCCCUUCGGGGAUGAGUGGCGGACGGGUGAGUAACGCGUGAGAAUUUACCAAAAGGACCGGGACAACCACUGGAAACGGUGGCUAAUACCGGAUGAGCCGAAAAGUAAAAAGGGAAACCUGCCUUUUGAAGAGCUCGCGUCUGAUUAGCUAGUUGGUGAGGUAAAGGCUCACCAAGGCAUCGAUCAGUAGCUGGUCUGAGAGGAUGACCAGCCACACUGGGACUGAGACACGGCCCAGACUCCUACGGGAGGCAGCAGUGGGGAAUUUUCCGCAAUGGGCGAAAGCCUGACGGAGCAAGACCGCGUGAGGGAGGAAGGCUCUUGGGUUGUAAACCUCUUUUCUUGGGGAAGAAAAAAAUGACGGUACCCAAGGAAUCAGCAUCGGCUAACUCCGUGCCAGCAGCCGCGGUAAUACGGAGGAUGCAAGCGUUAUCCGGAAUUAUUGGGCGUAAAGCGUCCGCAGGUGGCACUUCAAGUCUGCUGUCAAAGGUCGGGGCUUAACCCCGGGAAGGCAGUGGAAACUGAAGCGCUAGAGUGUCGUAGGGGUAGAGGGAAUUCCCGGUGUAGCGGUGAAAUGCGUAGAGAUCGGGAAGAACAUCGGUGGCGAAAGCGCUCUACUGGACGACAACUGACACUCAGGGACGAAAGCUAGGGGAGCGAAUGGGAUUAGAUACCCCUGUAGUCC